rnacentral:lncRNA from 1 species
GCUCAAUUAACGCACGCGCGGACAGGGCACCGGAGGCGGAGCUGGGGGGGUGGCUCCUGUCGCCCGCCCUUUUUCUUCGCUCAGAUUUGCCUUUUAUAGCCUGGUUGAUAUUUAACCCCUAGAAGAUGUAGGAGCCAUUAUCAGCAAUGCUGGGCCGAGCACGGGACAGCAGACUGGUCGGAGGUCCCCGCCCCGGAAAGUGCAAGAGACAUGUUGCAGGGAGCCAGGUAGCAGGCACAGACAUCCAGGGCUCUGUGGGCCAGAAAUGCCAGGCAGAGAUGCCCGAGGAAUGCCACCUUUCCAGGCUGGGAAGUGCAAGCUCAGGGCCGUGCAUCAGGAGGCCAGCCUGGGAGACCAGCCAAGACCCAGUGGCUGAACCAAGCAAACCCAGCCCUCCAACUACCUGGGCCACGGAAGCCAGGAUGGCCAGGUGGGUAGGAGGAGUUCCACUCCUUCACAUUCUGCACUCUCAGAUUUCUCAUGGGAGUUGGGGGCGGCGGGGAUUUUAGAGUUGUUUUUUCUCAGUUAGAUUCAUUGUACAGAUGGGGAACUGAGCAUGAAUGAGGGGGUGUCCCUGUUUGACGUGUCUCCUAUGUGCAUGCUUUUCCCAGGCAGACAACAGAGUACAGAACACAAUCCUCUGCCGAUCGUGGUGUCCAUCUGUCAUCCCAGUACUCAGGAGGCUGAGCCAGGACGACCACAGGAGUUUGAGGUCAGCCUGGGCUACACAGUAAGCCCCUGCCUCAAAAAUAA